rnacentral:rRNA from 1 species
GACGAACGCUGGCGGCGUGCCUAAUACAUGCAAGUAGAACGCACAGUUUAUACCGUAGCUUGCUACACCAUAGACUGUGAGUUGCGAACGGGUGAGUAACGCGUAGGUAACCUGCCUGGUAGCGGGGGAUAACUAUUGGAAACGAUAGCUAAUACCGCAUAAUAUUAAUUAUUGCAUGAUAAUUAAUUGAAAGGUGCAAUUGCACCACUACCAGAUGGACCUGCGUUGUAUUAGCUAGUAGGUGAGGUAACGGCUCACCUAGGCGACGAUACAUAGCCGACCGGAGAGGGUGAUCGGCCACACUGGGACUGAGACACGGCCCAGACUCCUACGGGAGGCAGCAGUAGGGAAUCUUCGGCAAUGGACGAAAGUCUGACCGAGCAACGCCGCGUGAGUGAAGAAGGGUGUCGGAUCGUAAAGCUCUGUUGUAAGAGAAGAACGGGUGUGAGAGUGGAAAGUUCACACUGUGACGGUAUCUUACCAGAAAGGGACGGCUAACUACGUG